rnacentral:rRNA from 1 species
UGAGUAACCUGCCCUUCACUCUGGGAUAACCCCGGGAAACCGGAGCUAAUACCGGAUACUCCGGCUGGAUCGCAUGGUCCGGCCGGGGAAAGGUCCGCCGGAGAGGGAUGGGCCCGCGGCCUAUCAGCUUGUUGGUGGGGUUAAGGCCUACCAAGGCGACGACGUGUAGCCGGCCUGAGAGGGUGACCGGCCACACUGGGACUGAGAUACGGCCCAGACUCCUACGGGAGGCA